rnacentral:rRNA from 1 species
CAGUAGCCGCGGGAAUACGUAGGUGGCAAGCGUUGUCCGGAAUUAUUGGGCGUAAAGGGCUCGCAGGCGGUUUCUUAAGUCUGAUGUGAAAGCCCCCGGCUCAACCGGGGAGGGUCAUUGGAAACUGGGAAACUUGAGUGCAGAAGAGGAGAGUGGAAUUCCACGUGUAGCGGUGGAAUGCGUAGAGAUGUGGAGGAACACCAGUGGCGAAGGCGACUCUCUGGUCUGUAACUGACGCUGAGGAGCGAAAGCGUGGGGAGCGAACAGGAUUAGAUACCCGUGUAGUCCCUGUCUCUUAUAC